rnacentral:ncRNA from 1 species
ACAGGAGGCUCAAAGAUGGGCCCACUAGUACGAAAUUACUAGUUGCAAAUUCGGCUGUAUCGGUGAAAUCCCAUGAGUAUUAAAGGACAAUACCGAGGCAAUCUCCGCCUUCAUAAAGUUUGAAGGGUUGGCGGAGCGAGUCCGUAGAGACUAUACGCCGAACCCCGCCUUCAUUAACAAUUUUAAUGAUUGGCGGGGAUGAUAUAGUCCGACACUCCAAGCAAUUGGAGC